UAGGGAAUCUUCGGCAAUGGGGGGAACCCUGACCGAGCAACGCCGCGUGAGUGAAGAAGGUUUUCGGAUCGUAAAACUCUGUUGUUAGAGAAGAACAGCGCAUAGAGUAACUGUUAUGCGUGUGACGGUAUCUAACCAGAAAGCCACGGCUAACUACGUGCCAGCAGCCGCGGUAAUACGUAGGUGGCAAGCGUUGUCCGGAUUUAUUGGGCGUAAAGCGAGCGCAGGCGGUCAAUUAAGUCUGAUGUGAAAGCCCCCGGCUCAACCGGGGAGGGUCAUUGGAAACUGGUUGACUUGAGUGCAGAAGAGGGGAGUGGAAUUCCAUGUGUAGCGGUGAAAUGCGUAGAUAUAUGGGGGAACACCAGUGGCGAAGGCGACUCUCUGGUCUGUAACUGACGCUGAGGCUCGAAAGCGUGGGUAGCAAACAGG
rnacentral:rRNA from 1 species